rnacentral:rRNA from 1 species
GGAGUUAGCCGGUGCUUCUUCUGUGAGUGAUGUCCUUCCUGCCGGCUAUUAACCCGCAGGCCUUCUUCCUCACUGAAAGUGCUUUACAACCCGAAGGCCUUCUUCACACACGCGGCAUGGCUGGAUCAGGGUUGCCCCCAUUGUCCAAUAUUCCCCACUGCUGCCUCCCGUAGGAGUCUGGGCCGUGUCUCAGUCCCAGUGUGGCUGAUCAUCCUCUCAGACCAGCUACGGAUCGUCGCCUUGGUGAGCCGUUACCUCACCAACCAGCUAAUCCGACAUAGGCUCAUCCGAUAGCGCGAGGCCCGAAGGUCCCCCGCUUUCCCCCGUAGGGCGUAUGCGGUAUUAGCCUGGGUUUCCCCAGGUUAUCCCCCACUACCGGGCAGAUUCCUAUGCAUUACUCACCCGUCCGCCGCUCGCCACCAGGGAGCAAGCUCCCCGUGCUGCCGCUCGACUUGCAUGUGUUAGGCUCGCCGCCACGCGUUCAUCUGAGCCAGAAUACAACUACUGA